GCCGGCGCAGAUCGUUGCUCUCGAGCGUCAAAGCGCGUAGUCAUUGCCUCGUCCGCAGCGGUGGGACGCCUCGAUUCCUCCAUCCCUGCGCGAUUAUUGCUACGCGGCCCACACUCGCCCAUCUCUCCUUUAUUUCUUUCUUCUUUUCCUUUUUCCGCUUCAGCUGCUGCCGCUGGAAUCGCUCGCGUCAGUCGCCUCCUGACCGCUGACUCGCUGCUUGCCGCUCGCCGUCACAGCCUUGACAUCAACAGCUCUAAUCAUCAUCCAUUGCUGCCCUCUUAUGGCUAGAGUAACACGAUCUGGUGUUGAUCCAAGGCCACGGUCUCCGGUUAACGAGGAAAAGUUAGGGUUCGGCCAAUUCAACAUCAAAAUUAGGAAUUUUUUAUAAUUGGAGUAAGAUUACGAACCAGCCUGCCGUAGCAAAAUAUUUUGUAUAGUGGUGUACCCCCUCGGUUCUGUUCUAGCUCCGCCCUGGGGAGUACGACGAGGAGAACGCACGAGGAGGAGAAGGUCGAGCCGGUGCGAUCGACUACUUCCUCUACAUCGACGCGCGCUACUUCACGAGAGUUCCUUCAACUUCUCAACGUCUUCUUCCGCUGCGCAGCGCGUCGAGUGAUAACGAUCUAUGAUCUAAUACUUGCAUGGUUCCUGAUUUACGUGAUAGAAAAUUUUGAUUUAUGCUAUCGUAGCCUACGAGUAUCCCAACAGCCUCGCGCGUGCAGUUACCAGUACGGUGGCGACUGCUCCGGCUUGCCGGAGAAGACGAACGAGUCUGCCGGCGUGUACGCCGGCGCCUGCGUCGAGGUGGCGGUCCCUCGCCAAGUUCAUCGUCUGGGAAGCUGAGGUUCUGCAGAACAAGGCAAGCUCGCCCUGCUUGUUCUUGAUAACAGAUUGAUGAUUCACCAAAAGGGUGUUAGUUGGAGUAAUGAUUUGCGGGCUGAGGGUCAUCAACAUCUGGUCCAAGAUGCAGAGAUUCCCCGGGUGGGAGAGUUCAUUCUCCUGCGCCACUGCUCCCGCUCCUGAAGUCGUUGCCUAAGCCCACUGCCACGACAAGCUGCGACCAUGGAUGGCGGGGUGGGUAGGUGGCGGAAAUUUCUCACGCCAUGGAAGAAGACGGCGCAGGACGGCGGUGGAUCAUUGGCCGAUGUCACAGUGCCGUUCCCCCAACAGCCUCAUCCUCAGGUGGCAGAGGCAGACACGCAGCAAGCUAGCGAUGGCAGUCGUAGCCACAGCCGUGUACAGGACCGCCUCCAUCGUCUGGCCGCCAUGGCCGCGCGAGCCGGCGUGGCUUCGUCUUCGGCUACUCUCUCCCCAAGGUUGCUUGCCCUUGAAUAAUUAGGCCCUUGAAUAAUUAGGCCAUUAUGUUCAGUUUGGCUAUUUAAGAAUAUUGUUUGCUUCUAGUUUUGUAUUUCUGUUCUUCAUUUCGGGUGUGUUUAGUUCACGCCAAGAAGUUUGGUUGAAAUUGGAACGAUGUGAUGGAAAAGUUGGAAGUUUUUGCAACUAAACAUCGCCUUCCUUCAAAUGGAAUUGCUCUAGUUAUGUGUCAAAA